rnacentral:lncRNA from 1 species
UUUUUUACAUUAUUUUUUAUUACUUGUCUUUUCUCCUUGCAAGCGGUGGAGCAAGUGGAGGAGCAGGUGGCUGACAGAGGAGUGGCGGCAAGUGGUGGUGGCAGACCUAGGUGCGGCACACCUAGGUUUUUUUUUUUGUUUUUUGUUUCUAAAAAUUCUUGGGAUUUUGGGCUAGGGUUAGGCUGAAUGGUUUGGGUUUGGGCCUAUUGUAAUUGAAUUAGGUUUAAUUUUUGUUUGGGUUAGGGUAGGGCUAAAUUGGGCUUGUACACACAUCUUCUUUUUUAUUAUUUGUACCACUUACACAAACAUGUUCCUUUCUUU